UAGGGAAUCUUCCGCAAUGGACGCAAGUCUGACGGAGCAACGCCGCGUGAGUGAAGAAGGAUUUCGGUUCGUAAAACUCUGUUGUUAGAGAAGAACAGCGCAUAGAGUAACUGUUAUGCGUGUGACGGUAUCUAACCAGAAAGCCACGGCUAACUACGUGCCAGUAGCCGCGGUAAUACGUAGGUGGCAAGCGUUGUCCGGAUUUAUUGGGCGUAAAGCGAGCGCAGGCGGUCAAUUAAGUCUGAUGUGAAAGCCCCCGGCUCAACCGAGGAGGGUCAUUGGAAACUGGUUGACUUGAGUGCAGAAGAGGAGAGUGGAAUUCCAUGUGUAGCGGUGAAAUGCGUAGAUAUAUGGAGGAACACCAGUGGCGAAGGCGACUCUCUGGUCUGUAACUGACGCUGAGGUUCGAAAGCGUGGGUAGCAAACAGG
rnacentral:rRNA from 1 species